ensembl:lncRNA
AGGGACCCUUCUACACCCUGGGGACGUCGGCUGUGUGCCUUAGGAGGUGGGGGGUUUUCUCCCCCGACCCUGUCUCCCCGCACAUUCAUCUCCCCCUUCUGGGAUGGGAGCACCAGUUCGGUUCCCCUUCCUUACCUGGAGCACAUAGAUAAACAACACUAACAGCCCUUCCCAAAGGAAAAGAGACUGAAGCGAGGUGUGUGGAGGUCCCUGGCUGGACCCAGCCCUGCUGCUGUGGAGGGCCCGCUUGGACAGCAACCCCGGGUCUCAGUUCUGAGGCUUUGCUGACAGCAAGCGGCAUCUCCACGUGUCCCCGGAGGCGUGGCUGUGUCAAGUUCACUGACCAUGAGACUGGGUCACAACAGUCCAAGCUCCUAGAUCUCUUCUGCUGUGCCCCUCUGCCAUGCUGCCCCACCUUGAGCCAUCUGACUGUGGACUGAAACCUCUAGGAACCAUGAACCAAAAU